rnacentral:rRNA from 1 species
GUGAACGCUGGCGGUAGGCCUAACCCAUGCCAGUCGAACGGCAGCACAGUAAGAGCUUGCUCUUACGGGUGGCGAGUGGCGGACGGGCGAGGAAUACAUCGGAAUCUACUUUUUCGUGGGGGAUAACGUAGGGAAACUUACGCUAAUACCGCAUACGACCUACGGGUGAAAGCAGGGGAUCUUCGGACCUUGCGCGAUUGAAUGAGCCGAUGUCGGAUUAGCUAGUUGGCGGGGUAAAGGCCCACCAAGGCGACGAUCCGUAGCUGGUCUGAGAGGAUGAUCAGCCACACUGGAACUGAGACACGGUCCAGACUCCUACGGGAGGCAGCAGUGGGGAAUAUUGGACAAUGGGCGCAAGCCUGAUCCAGCCAUACCGCGUGGGUGAAGAAGGCCUUCGGGUUGUAAAGCCCUUUUGUUGGGAAAGAAAAGCAGCAGGUUAAUACCCCGCUGUUCUGACGGUACCCAAAGAAUAAGCACCGGCUAACUUCGUG